rfam:Pteropus alecto contig104582, whole genome shotgun sequence.
GUCUACGGCCACGCCACCCUGAACAAGCCCGAUGUCUGAUCGUGGAAGCUAAGCAGGGUCGGGCCUGGUUAACACUUGGAUGGGAGGCCACCUAGGAAGAGCAGGUGCUGUCAGCG